rnacentral:lncRNA from 1 species
GGAAGGGGUGGCAUUGGUGAUUAAAGACUGUCUUUCCUACCCUCUUCAGUUCCUCUUUCAACAAUAUGAAGUUGGAACCAGAUACUGAAGAAAGAAAUGGAUCGACUUUUGACUUGCCUGAAUAGAGCCUUUGUGAAACUUUCUCAGCCUUUUGGUGAAGAAGCCUUAAGUUUGGAGUCAAGAGCUAAUGAAGCUCAGUGGUUUCGAAAAACAGCUUGGAACUUGGCUGUGCAAUGUGACAAAGAUCCAGUGAUGAUGAGAGAG